UAGGCUGUCAGGAGCUUAUUCUUGCAGUUCAUUGUUGAUCUAGUUCAGCGUUUUAGCUGCACGUAAUUAUAUCUUGUAGAAGCACCAUCACCUUAACCCGUUUUGCUGGUAUGUAGCUCAGUGGUAGACAGCUUGUGUGAGAAAGGCCCUGUUUUUUUCUUUCUUUUCCUUUUUCCUUUUUUGGUGCUGGGGAUUAAUUUAGGGCCUUGUGCAUGCCUGGCAAGCACUCUACCUGCUGAGCCCAAGGCCCUGGUUUUGAUUUCUAACACUUCAAAAAAAUAACACACAAAAUUUAGGUCCCCUGUGGUACCCCCCACCCCCAAGCAGUAGUAGCAGGGUGUCUGGCAUCUGGUGGGAAUGCAUCAUCUGUGUGAAGAGUGUGUGUUGGAGUACAUGCCUGUAAUCUCAGUGGCCGAGGAGGCUGAGACAGGAGGAGUUCAAAGUCAGCUUCAGCAAAAAAAAAAAAAAAAAAAAAAACAGGUGCUAAGCAACUCAGUGAGACCCUGUCUCUAAAUAAAAUAUAAAACAGGGAUGGGGAUGUGGCUCAGUGGCCAAGUGCACCUGAGUUCAAUUCCCGGUACCAAAUAAAAGAGUGAAUGUUGGGAGGCUAGGCUGUAGUAGCAUGGUGUCAAAGCAAUUGCUUACCUUGUGUUAGGCACUGGGUUUGAUCCUUAGAACCACCUUUAAAAAAAAAAAAAAAACCAAGGCAUCUUGUCCAUCUGCAACUACAAAAAUAAAAAAAAAAAAUGAAUGCUUGAAGACAGAUAAGACUUGGAAUGUAGUAAUCUCAGUAAAUCCUUCAUAUGAUUUGGUUAAAAGUAAAAGAAAGGCCAACAAUUAGGUGGAAAAAUGAGCAAGGAUGUUGAUAAGCAGGUCUUGGGAAACAAAGCUGUAGAUGGUUCUUGAACCUCAAAGGUACUUAACUGUACAGCCUGGUGGUGCAGCCAGCAAUUCCUGUGACUCAGGAAGUUGAAGCAGGAGGAUCCCAAGUUCAGGUCAGCUUGGGCAACCGAGUGAACCCCUCAGCAAGUCAGAAGACCCUGACUCAAAAAGUGGGGGUUGGGCUGGGAUUGUGGCUCAAUGGUGGAGCACUUGCCUGGCAUAUAUGAGGCCCUGGGUUCCAUCCUCAACACUCCAUACAAAUAAAUGAGUGAAUGAAUGAAUGAACAAAUAAGAAAAUAAAAGAUUAACAACUAAAAAACAUUUAAAAAUAAAGUGGGGGGUGGCUGGGGCUCGGGGCAUACGCGUGUAAUCCCAAUGGCUUGGGAGACUGAGGCAGGAGGAUCUUGAGUUCAAAGCCAGCCUCAGCAAAAGGGAGGUGCCAAGCAACUCGGUGAGACCCUGUCUCUAAUAAAAUAUAUAUAUAUAUAAAAAAAAGGCUGCAGGGGCUGGGUUGUGUGUCAGGGGUAAGGUCCUUGCCUAGCAUGCGUGAAGCACUGGGUUCGAUCCCUGGCACCACCUAAAAAUAAAAACAAAAUUAAAGGUAUUGUGUCCAUGUACAACUUAAAAAAAAAAAAAAGGCUGGGGAUGUGGCUCAGUGAUUAAGCACCCCUGGGUUCAAUUCCCAGUAUCAAAACAAAAGGGUGGUGCUGGAGAUGUGUGGUAGAGUACCCCGUGGUUCUCAAUUCCCAGUACCAAAACAAAAACAAUGAGCAGUUAGGCUUUACUUACUAUGAUGGAAAAAUCAAGCAAGGAAGUAUUUCUGAGGACUGCGAAAACCUGAGGCUGAUAAUAAUAAUCAGAAUAUAAAUUGGUGCCAGCCACCUCUGAGGAAGUUGGGUAGCAGGUCUGUCUUUCAAUUGGGGUUGAACCCAUGGGUCCGUUUAACAC
rnacentral:lncRNA from 1 species